UCAGAAUGUUACUACGGUCUGAUUCAAUUUUCUACAAUUUCUAUGAUUACUCGUGUCUUUUAAUUCAAAUCUUAAGAUAACACUGACACACGUCACUCUUUUGCUUAUGCAAUUAAUGUUGUCUAUUUUAAUUUGUAGCACUAGCAAUCAGCAGGACCUUAAAAGCCCCAACAUAUGUUCUCAGCCUUCAGGAUCACGCUGAAGAUUGCAAGAUUGGAGAUCAAAUUACAAGCUGCUGAUUAUGAAGAAUUCAUUUCUGAAGUGAGUCCUUGUGGACAAGAUUUAUGUGAAAGAUGAUUCGGGAACCGAGGUGGAUGAAUCUGUGUUGAAUUUGUUGAACAUUUCCAUGCCUUUCAUGUUGCUGACAUGGUGCAUAAUGUUUCAGUUGUUAGACCUGAUGACCUGAGAUGCUAUAAACCCUUUGAUAUUCAAAUGUCUUACAGUGCAGAUUCUAACUGUUGUUGU